rnacentral:rRNA from 1 species
UACGUAGGCAGCGAGCGUUGUUCGGAAUUACUGGGCGUAAAGAGUGUGUAGGCGGUGUUCCCAGUCUGUUGUGAAAUCUCCCGGCUUAACUGGGAGGGUGCAGCGGAAACUAGAAUGCUAGAGGGUGGGAGAGGUAAGGCGGAAUUCCUGGUGUAGCGGUGAAAUGCGUAGAUAUCAGGAGGAACACCUGUGGUGUAGACAGCUUACGUGGACCACUUCUGACGCUGAGACACGAAAGCGUGGGUAGCAAACAGG